CUCUUUCUUCUUCCACUUUUCUCUCACUCCCUUUAUUUCUCAUUUCAGUUACAUCUAUUAUUCUUCCCCCACUCCAUCCAUCUAUUCAAAAUUGAUCUUUAUAAUUUCACAAGUUUUAUCUCACAAAUUAUAUUUGCAAAUCUCUACAUACAUGAGGUUAAACCCUACACUAAUAAUAUUUUCUUCUUUUUUAUGAUUGUCUGACUUUCCAAUUUUUUCUUAUUUUUUUUCUUUUAAUAUUAAAUUUAAGUAGAAUAA
rnacentral:lncRNA from 1 species